UACGGGGGGAGCAAGCGUUGUUCGGAUUUACUGGGCGUAAAGGGCGCGUAGGCGGCCACCGCAAGUCGAUUGUGAAAUCUCCGGGCUUAACCCGGAAAGGUCAACCGAUACUGCGGGGCUAGAGUGCAGAAGGGGCAACUGGAAUUCUCGGUGUAGCGGUGAAAUGCGUAGAUAUCGAGAGGAACACCUGCGGCGAAGGCGGGUUGCUGGGCUGACACUGACGCUGAAGUGCGAAGGCUAGGGGAGCGAACGGG
rnacentral:rRNA from 1 species